rnacentral:lncRNA from 1 species
CGCUGGGAGAGGCCGUUGCGGACUGUGUCGGAGAUCUUGUUGAUGAAGGAGCGGAAGGCGGGAGUGGCGAUCGGCGGCUGGGAGGAGGAGGAGGAAGGAUUGACGACGGUGGUGGUUAAGGAUGGGGCCGAUUGGGAAUUGGGAGGAAGGAUUGACGACAGUGGUGGUUAAGGAUGGGGCCGAUUGGGAAUUGGAGAUCGGGACGAUCGGGGGAGAUUGAGCG